GUUUUUAGUGAAUUGAUGUAGGGGGAUAUUUCAAGAUUAAAUUUAUAUUUUGUGUGCCAUGAUAUUUAUUUACUUCUUCAUUUGUUUAUGUUGCUUUUCUCACAUAAUCUUAAAAUGAUAAACAGUCCCCAAAUGGUCUGCAGUUGAAGGUGCCUGCUUAUCUGGGUGCGAUAUCUGUAUGUGCCGGUUUUGCCGCUGCUCUGGUGUCCCUUGGCCUUCCACUUCUAAUCAUUCCGCUCCAAGUAAUGCCAUGGACUGGUCUCCUUUUAAUGUACGAAUGAACAUUUACACUUUUCUUCCUCUUGUUUGGAAGUUAUUUGCACUUAGUUUAUCAGUGGGGAAGGGUUGCGGCAAAUCAACCUGGACAAUAUCCGGCUCAUCCUGCAUCUUUGGAUUAUGAACCUGGAAAAGGUCAUCAGCGGCAGCAAUCAUGUUGUGACAAUGCAGCGUAGUACUAUGGGUUAGGGAUGGCAUUUCUUGCCAUUGCAGCCCCUACAUUGCCUGGCAUUUUUGGAGUCACUUCUUUGUUUUUGAGGUUAGGUUUGAUGGUGGUAGGCGGCCUUAUUUUGGCGUCCUUCAUGACAUAUGCUUCGGAGCAUCUAUCGAUUAGAUCAUUUGCCAGGGGCUACGAAGAAAGGAAUACACCAAGGAGUAGGAGUGUGUGUUUCUUAUGUUGAUCAUGUCAAUAUAUUUUGGUUUUUAGCUAACUACAGGCAAUCAUCUUCUCUUUUUUUUCUUUUUUUCAAAAAAAUAAAAAUAAAAAUUAUUUGUAACUUGUUUUGGCACAUUCUUCCUAAUGAAGUAUGCAGGGAAAUUUUUGGUUUCUAAUAUUGUUUUUUUUAGAAAGUUGAGGUGUAAUUCUUUUGUAAGGUUAAAAUCCAUGUUUUCUGUAUAUUGCUUCUUAAAUUUUAAUUGAUGACAUUGAUGUGCAUAAGCAUUAUUUAUCAAUUCUGAGGUGUUGUCCUUUUCAAACCCAACGUAAAUGCAGGAUGCUUUGUGUAUCGACCUGCCUUGGCUUUUCGUCUUAUUAAAAUCUUAUUAGUGUGAUGAUCUUUACGUCCUGUCAAUUCGCUAAGUAGACUCAUCAACUGAGUUAUCCUUUCUCGAAUCCUACAUGAAUGCGAGAUGCUUUGUGCACUGAGC